rnacentral:rRNA from 1 species
CGUGCAGGAUGAAGGCCUUCGGGUUGUAAACUGCUUUUGUACGGAACGAAAAGGUGCCUUCUAAUAAAGGGCGCUCAUGACGGUACCGUAAGAAUAAGCACCGGCUAACUACGUGCCAGCAGCCGCGGUAAUACGUAGGGUGCGAGCGUUAAUCGGAAUUACUGGGCGUAAAGCGUGCGCAGGCGGUUUUGUAAGACAGAGGUGAAAUCCCCGGGCUCAACCUGGGAACUGCCUUUGUGACUGCAAGGCUGGAGUGCGGCAGAGGGGGAUGGAAUUCCGCGUGUAGCAGUGAAAUGCGUAGAUAUGCGGAGGAACACCGAUGGCGAAGGCAAUCCCCUGGGCCUGCACUGACGCUCAUGCACGAAAGCGUGGGGAGCAAACAGGAUUAGAUACCCUGGUAGUCCACGCCCUAAACGAUGUCAACUGGUUGUUGGGGAUUAAUUUUCUCAGUAACGAAGCUAACGCGUGAAGUUGACCGCCUGGGGAGUACGGCCGCAAGGUUAAAACUCAAAGGAAUUGACGG